rnacentral:lncRNA from 1 species
AUAAGUUAAGAAGUCAGCCUGAACCAAAGUCUGAGACUCGAGUCGACUCCAGAGUAUCACGAGUCGACUCCAAGCGUAUCAAGUUCACUGGCACGGGCUCGAGUCGACUCCGGAUAAGUACGAGUCGACUCCGACUUAGAACAGACAGACGAACAGAAAGCAUCAACUCAAAACCUGUCAGCGAGUCGACUCCUGAAGUGCGCGAGUCGACUCC